UACGGGGGGAGCAAGCGUUGUCCGGAAUCACUGGGCGUAAAGGGUGCGUAGGCGGGGAAGUAAGUUCGUGGUGAAACCUGAUGGCUCAACUGUCAGCCUGCCUCGAAAACUGCUUCUCUUGAGUGCUGCAGAGGAGACCGGAAUUCCUGGUGUAGCGGUGAAAUGCGUAGAUAUCAGGAAGAACACCGGUUGCGAAGGCGGGUCUCUGGGCAUGCACUGACGCUGAGGCACGAAAGCUAGGGGAGCAAACAGGAUUAGAUACCCGCGUA
rnacentral:rRNA from 1 species